CAGCCGUAAACGAUGUGCGUUAGGUGUAUCGACGACCACGAGUUGUCGAGGUGCCGAAGGGAAACCGUGAAACGUACCGCCUGGGAAGUACGGUCGCAAGGCUGAAACUUAAAGGAAUUGGCGGGGGAGCACCACAACAGGUGGAGCCUGCGGUUUAAUUGGACUCAACGCCGGGAAGCUCACCGGAUAGGACAGCAGAAUGAUUGCCGGGCUGAAGACCCUGCAUGACUAGCUGAGAGGUGGUGCAUGGCGUCAGUGACU
rnacentral:rRNA from 1 species